rnacentral:ncRNA from 4 species
UGAACCUGCGGAAGGAUCAUUAA